AUUGAACGCUGGCGGCAGGCCUAACACAUUCAAGUCGAGCGGAGCGGCGGACGGGUGAGUAAUGACUGGGAAACUGCCUGCUGGAGGGGGAUAACUACUGGAAACGGUAGCUAAUACCGCAUACCAGCAGAUGUGCCCAGAUGGGAUUAGCUAGUAGGUGGGGUAAAGGCCUACCAAGGCGACGAUCCGUAACUGGUCUGAGAGGAUGAUCAGUCACACGGGAACUGAGACACGGUCCAGACUCCUACGGGAGGCAGCAGUGGGGAAUAUUGGACAAUGGGCGAAAGCCUGAUCCAGCCAUGCCGCGUGUGUGAAGAAGGUCUUCGGAUUGUAAAGCACUUUAAGUUGGGAGGCGUUACCAACAGAAUAAGCACCGGCUAACUUCGUGCCAGCAGCCGCGGUAAUAC
rnacentral:rRNA from 1 species